AUUGAACGCUGGCGGCAGGCCUAACACAUGCAAGUCGAGCGGAUGAGGAGAGCUUGCUCUCUGAUUUAGCGGCGGACGGGUGAGUAAUGCCUAGGAAUCUGCCUGGUAGUGGGGGAUAACGUCCGGAAACGGGCGCUAAUACCGCAUACGUCCUACGGGAGAAAGCAGGGGACCUUCGGGCCUUGCGCUAUCAGAUGAGCCUAGGUCGGAUUAGCUAGUUGGUGAGGUAAUGGCUCACCAAGGCUACGAUCCGUAACUGGUCUGAGAGGAUGAUCAGUCAAACUGGAACGGAGACCCGGUCCAGACUCCUACGGGAGGCAGCAGUGGGGAAUAUUGGACAAUGGGCGAAAGCCUGAUCCAGCCAUGCCGCGUGUGUGAAGAAGGUCUUCGGAUUGUAAAGCACUUUAAGUUGGGAGGAAGGGCAGUAAGUUAAUACCUUGCUGUUUUGACGUUACCGACAGAAUAAGCACCGGCUAACUUCGUGCCAGCAGCCGCCGUAACAC
rnacentral:rRNA from 1 species